CGGGGGAGGCCGGAUCCUGGGUUGUGUCCCCGGGGCCCUGUGCUCCGGGGCCUGCGCUGUUGGAUUCGUGCUCCAGCCGGGCAGCUCCCU
rnacentral:pre_miRNA from 1 species